GUUGUCGUCAGUUCGUGUCGUGAGAUGUUGGGUUAAGUCCCGCAACGAGCGCAACCCCUAUCUUCAGUAGCCAGCACGAAAGGUGGGCACUCUGGAGAGACUGCCAGGGACAACCUGGAGGAAGGUGGGGAUGACGUCAAAUCAUCAUGCCCCUUAUGACCAGGGCUACACACGUGCUACAAUGGCGUAAACAAAGGGAAGCGACCACGUGAGUGUAAGCGAAUCCCAAAAAUAACGUCUCAGUUCGGAUUGUAGUCUGCAACUCGACUACAUGAAGCUGGAAUCGCUAGUAAUCGCGAAUCAGAAUGUCGCGGUGAAUACGUUCCCGGGUCUUGUACACACCGCCCGUCACACCAUGGGAGUCAGUAACGCCCGAAGCCGGUGACCCAACCAGUUCUGGAGGGAGCCGUCGAAGGUGGGACCGAUAACUGGGGUGAAGUCGUAACAAGGUAGCCGUAUCGGAAGGUGCGGCUGGAUCACCUC
rnacentral:rRNA from 1 species